rnacentral:tRNA from 2 species
AGGUCGGUAGUUCAAUUGGUAGAGCACCGGUUUCCAAAACCGGCUGUUAGGGGUUCGAGUCCCUUCCGACCUGCCA